GGAAUCUUUCCGCAAUGGACGAAAGUCUGACGGAGCAACGCCGCGUGAGUGAUGAAGGUUUUCGGAUCGUAAAGCUCUGUUGUUAGGGAAGAACAAGUGCAAGAGUAACUGCUUGCACCUUGACGGUACCUAACCAGAAAGCCACGGCUAACUACGUGCCAGCAGCCGCGGUAAUACGUAGGUGGCAAGCGUUGUCCGGAAUUAUUGGGCGUAAAGGGCUCGCAGGCGGUUUCUUAAGUCUGAUGUGAAAGCCCCCGGCUCAACCGGGGAGGGUCAUUGGAAACUGGGAAACUUGAGUGCAGAAGAGGAGAGUGGAAUUCCACGUGUAGCGGUGAAAUGCGUAGAGAUGUGGAGGAACACCAGUGGCGAAGGCGACUCUCUGGUCUGUAACUGACGCUGAGGAGCGAAAGCGUGGGGAGCGAACAGGAUUAGAUACCCUGGUAGUCCACGCCGUAAACGAUGAGUGCUAAGUGUUAGGGGGUUUCCGCCCCUUAGUGCUGCAGCUAACGCAUUAAGCACUCCGCCUGGGGAGUACGGUCGCAAGACUGAAACUCAAAGGAAUUGACGGGGGCCCGCACAAGCGGUGGAGCAUGUGGUUUAAUUCGAAGCAACGCGAAGAACCUUACCAGGUCUUGACAUCCUCUGACAACCCUAGAGAUAGGGCUUUCCCUUCGGGGACAGAGUGACAGGUGGUGCAUGGUUGUCGUCAGCUCGUGUCGUGAGAUGUUGGGUUAAGUCCCGCAACGAGCGCAACCCUUGAUCUUAGUUGCCAGCAUUCAGUUGGGCACUCUAAGGUGACUGCCGGUGACAAACCGGAGGAAGGUGGGGAUGACGUCAAAUCAUCAUGCCCCUUAUGACCUGGGCUACACACGUGCUACAAUGGACAGAACAAAGGGCUGCGAGACCGCAAGGUUUAGCCAAUCCCACAAAUCUGUUCUCAGUUCGGAUCGCAGUCUGCAACUCGACUGCGUGAAGCGGAAUCGCUAGUAAUCGCGGAUCAGCAUGCCGCGGUGAAUACGUUCCCGGGCCUUGUACACACCGCCCGUCACACCACGAGCUUUCCAACACCCUUGUCUCUGGCGUCACCUCCUGGUGCCAUCGUCCCCGA
rnacentral:rRNA from 1 species